CCUACGGGCGGCUGCAGUGGGGAAUAUUGCACAAUGGGCGCAAGCCUGAUGCAGCCAUGCCGCGUGUGUGAAGAAGGCCUUCGGGUUGUAAAGCACUUUCAGCGGGGAGGGAGGCGGUGAGGUUAAUAACCUCAUCGAUUGACGUUACCCGCAGAAGAAGCACCGGCUAACUCCGUGCCAGCAGCCGCGGUAAUACGGAGGGUGCAAGCGUUAAUCGGGAUUACUGGGCGUAAAGCGCACGCAGGCGGUCUGUCAAGUCGGAUGUGAAAUCCCCGGGCUCAACCUGGGAACUGCAUUCGAAACUGGCAGGCUAGAGUCUUGUAGAGGGGGGUAGAAUUCCAGGUGUAGCGGUGAAAUGCGUAGAGAUCUGGAGGAAUACCGGUGGCGAAGGCGGCCCCCUGGACAAAGACUGACGCUCAGGUGCGAAAGCGUGGGGAGCAAACAGGAUUAGAUACCCUUGUAGUC
rnacentral:rRNA from 1 species